UGGGGAAUAUUGGACAAUGGACCAAGAGUCUGAUCCAGCAAUUCUGUGUGCACGAUGAAGUUUUUCGGAAUGUAAAGUGCUUUCAGUUGGGAAGAAAGAAAUGACGGUACCAACAGAAGAAGUGACGGCUAAAUACGUGCCAGCAGCCGCGGUAAUACGUAUGUCACGAGCGUUAUCCGGAUUUAUUGGGCGUAAAGCGCGUCUAGGUGGCUAUGUAAGUCUGAUGUGAAAAUGCAGGGCUCAACUCUGUAUUGCGUUGGAAACUGUAUAGCUAGAGUACUGGAGAGGUAAGCGGAACUACAAGUGUAGAGGUGAAAUUCGUAGAUAUUUGUAGGAAUGCCGAUGGGGAAGCCAGCUUACUGGACAGAUACUGACGCUGAAGCGCGAAAGCGUGGGUAGCAAACAGGAUUAGAUACCCUGGUAGUCCACGCCGUAAACGAUGAUUACUAGGUGUUGGGGGUCGAACCUCAGCGCCCAAGCAAACGCGAUAAGUAAUCCGCCUGGGGAGUACGUACGCAAGUAUG
rnacentral:rRNA from 1 species